GGUGAACGCUGGCGGCGUGCCUAAUACAUGCAAGUCGAGCGACCAGACGAGGAGCUUGCGCCCCUGACGGUAGCGGCGGACGGGCGAGUAACGCGUGCAUCGCCUACCUAUAAUUCUGGGAUGACAACGGGAAGCCGGUUCCAAUAACGGAUCAUAUAUUCUACCGCUUGGUUCAAUAGUGAAACACGGCUUUGCUGUUUGUUUUAGAUGGUUCCGCGCCGCAUUAGCUAGUUGGUAAGGUACCGGCUUACCAAGGCAACGAUGCGUCGCUGACCUGAGAGGGUGAUCGGCCACACUGGAACUGAGACACGGUCCAGACUCCUACGGGAGGCAGCAGUAGGGAAUCUUCCGCAAUGGGCGAAAGCCUGACGGAGCAACGCCGCGUGAGUGAUGAAGGUCUUCGGAUCGUAAAGCUCUGUUGUUGGGGAAGAACAAAUGUGUGAGAAACUAUGGACGUCUUGACGGUACCUAAUCAGAAAGCCACGGCUAACUUCGUG
rnacentral:rRNA from 1 species